rnacentral:rRNA from 1 species
GACGAACGCUGGCGGCGUGCUUAACACAUGCAAGUCGAACGGAAAGGCCCUGCUUUUGUGGGGUGCUCGAGUGGCGAACGGGUGAGUAACACGUGAGUAACCUGCCCUUGACUUUGGGAUAACUUCAGGAAACUGGGGCUAAUACCGGAUAGGAGCUCCUGCUGCAUGGUGGGGGUUGGAAAGUUUCGGCGGUUGGGGCUGGACUCGCGGCUUAUCAGCUUGUUGGUGGGGUAGUGGCUUACCAAGGCUUUGACGGGUAGCCGGCCUGAGAGGGUGACCGGCGACAUUGGGACUGAGAUACGGCCCAGACUCCUACGGGAGGCAGCAGUGGGGAAGAUUGCACAAUGGGCGGAAGCCUGAUGCAGCAACGCCGCGUGCGGGAUGACGGCCUUCGGGUUGUAAACCGCUUUCGCCUGUGACGAAGCGUGAGUGACGGUAAUGGGUAAAGAAGCACCGGCUAACUACGUGC